ACCGGCAGCUCAAGUGGUGGCCAUUUUUAUUGGGCCUAAAGCGUUCGUAGCCGGUUUGAUAAGUCUCUGGUGAAAUCCCGCAGCUUAACUGUGGGACUUGCUGGAGAUACUAUUAGACUUGAGGUCGGGAGAGGUUAGGGGUACUCCCAGGGGAUGGAUGACAUCCUAGAGGCCGGAGAGGACCGCCUGUAGCGAAGGCUCCUAACUGGAUCGAACCUGAAGGUUGAUAACGAACUCCAGGGGCACAAACGG
rnacentral:rRNA from 1 species